rnacentral:rRNA from 1 species
CCUACGGGUGGUAGCAGUGGGGGAUAUUGCACAAUGGGGGGAACCCUGAUGCAGCGACGCCGCGUGGGUGAAGGAGCGUUUCGGCGCGUAAAGCUCUAUCGGCAGGGAAGAAGAUGACGGUACCUGACCAAGAAGCCCCGGCUAACUACGUGCCAGCAGCCGCGGUAAUACGUAGGGGGCAAGCGUUAUCCGGAUUUACUGGGUGUAAAGGGGGCGUAGACGGCAGCGCAAGGCGGGAGUGAAAGGCCGGGGCUGAACCCCGGGACUGCUCUGGAAACUGGAUGGCUGGAGUGCAGGAGAGGCAGGCGGAAUUCCUAGUGUAGCGGUGAAAUGCGUAGAUAUUAGGAGGAACACCAGUGGCGAAGGCGGCCUGCUGGACUGUGACUGACGUUGAGGCCCGAAGGCGUGGGGAGCAAACAGGAUUAGAUACCCGGGUAGUC